UUUUUUGUCUUCGCAAUAAGUGGGAUAUACAGGUUGUCCCAAGGGGUAAUCUCAAACCUGUUAUCAAGUUACCAUGCAACAAUAACCUGGCAAUGACAACCGUUAAGCAAUGUGCAUUAACGCACUCUAGGCGGUUCAAAAGGACAUUCAGAACAGCCAAGAAAAUUGGCCUAAAAUUUACUUGACCAAUGCUUGACAUGCUACAAAAUAU
rnacentral:lncRNA from 1 species